rnacentral:rRNA from 1 species
AGUGAACGCUGGCGGUAGGCCUAACACAUGCAAGUCGAACGGCAGCACAGUAAGAGCUUGCUCUUACGGGUGGCGAGUGGCGGACGGGUGAGGAAUACAUCGGAAUCUACUUUUUCGUGGGGGAUAACGUAGGGAAACUUACGCUAAUACCGCAUACGACCUACGGGUGAAAGCAGGGGAUCUUCGGACCUUGCGCGAUUGAAUGAGCCGAUGUCGGAUUGGCUAGUUGGCGGGGUAAAGGCCCACCAAGGCGACGAUCCGUAGCUGGUCUGAGAGGAUGAUCAGCCACACUGGAACUGAGACACGGUCCAGACUCCUACGGGAGGCAGCAGUGGGGAAUAUUGGACAAUGGGCGCAGGCCUGAUCCAGCCAUACCGCGUGGGUGAAGAAGGCCUUCGGGUUGUAAAGCCCUUUUGUUGGGAAAGAAAAGCAGCAGGUUAAUACCCCGCUGUUCUGACGGUACCCAAAGAAUAAGCACCGGCUAACUUCGUG